GAAAAUUCCAGUGCUUAAAUCAAAUUUCUUCAGAUAUAACUUCAUACUAAUGAAAUUACUUUGAUUACCCCAAGUCUCUUUUCCUGUCGAGCCACUCCAGAUAAGCCUAACAGAAAGUCGAGUAGGAAGGAGAGGGAAAUGAUGAUUGCACCGACGCCAAUUCUAGAAGCUACUGGAAGCUCUACGACAGGACCCCAACUAUAUACAACCGCAUGCUGAGUGGUGGUGGAGAUGCAGCACGAUGGGGGCAAUAGCUCAGCCGAUACAUAGUUAACAAAUGCCUCCACAUGGUAUAAACAGAUUGAAUUAGCUGUCUAUUAGCCAAGUCAUUCCCUGAAUGUCCCAUUAAAGGAGCAGCUACGACAAACCAGCCAACACCAAGUCAGAAUUGCACUCUCGAAUGAGAUACCAUUUCAGCUGUUAAGAUGCCACACUAUACGUUGUCCUUACCACUCAAAGCAGUACAGAAGGGGCAAGCUUUGAAGCCACUUCUGCUUCAGCAACCAUAGCUACUCUCAUCAUGAGAGGCAAACUUAUCAAAUGAUCUUUGCAACACAAGCGGCAGAACAUAAACUAAUAAUUGCCAACCUGAACCUUUUCAAGGAGAAGUUUUCCAGUCAAACUGCAGGUUGUUAAAACCGUUGACAGCUUCUAGACCACUAAGCAGUUGGUUUCCCAGAUCUUGUUGCUGUUGACUCAUAUUGUGUUCUCUCACCAUUGUCAUGCCCACUAACCCAUUCAUGGCUGAAGGGUUAUUACCCAAUGCAGCUCGCAUUCCAUUAACCAUUGCAGCUUGGCCCAGUCCAUUGUUCAUACUCCCAAAUCCAGAACCAAUACCCGUAUUGUUAGCAUUGGCUGUCCCAUUCCUAACAAGGCAAUUGCUUCCAUUGAGAAGAGAAUUAUUACUUGUUGCCAACAUCCCAUGUCCAUUUUUCAUAUCAUUCCCAAUAAUACCAUUACCUACCAUGCCACUGCCACCGAGCUGUGAAGACAUCAUCAUUUCAUGUAUAAUCUUUUGUACAGAACUCUGAGAGUCAUUAGCAUCCACAUCAUUCGAAUGGGCUGGUUGCUGCAUUGAGAUUUUUGGGGAAUUUGCCGAGUUCAUAUGCUGCACUGAUGAUAAGCCACUGUGUGAAGCUUGUGGUGUAUUGUUGGAUGACGAUGGUGUUGGAGAUUGGAAUUGAGAAGAGUUGGGUUGAGACUGAGGCAUUGUACUUGAAGAAUUGGGUGAAGGCAUUUGGACAGUAUUUCCUGAGUAGGUACCACUUCCACCAUUCAUUGGAUUUUGUUGCCUGGAGUUCAUGGAAUUUUGGUGCAGUAAUCCGACAACAGUACCACUAGACGAAGUAGCAGGUACUCGGUUCACUGAGUUGUGUACAUUCGACAUACCAUUGCUCAAAGGUAGUGGCGGUACACCAGGC
rnacentral:misc_RNA from 1 species